rnacentral:rRNA from 1 species
GGGGUAAAGGCCUACCAAGGCGACGAUCCAUAGCUGGUCUGAGAGGAUGAUCAGCCACAUUGGGACUGAGACACGGCCCAAACUCCUACGGGAGGCAGCAGUGGGGAAUAUUGGACAAUGGGCGCAAGCCUGAUCCAGCCAUGCCGCGUGAGUGAUGAAGGCCCUAGGGUUGUAAAGCUCUUUCACCGGAGAAGAUAAUGACGGUAUCCGGAGAAGAAGCCCCGGCUAACUUCGUGCCAGCAGCCGCGGUAAUACGAAGGGGGCUAGCGUUGUUCGGAAUUACUGGGCGUAAAGCGCACGUAGGCGGAUCGAUCAGUCAGGGGUGAAAUCCCAGGGCUCAACCCUGGAACUGCCUUUGAUACUGUCGAUCUGGAGUAUGGAAGAGGUGAGUGGAAUUCCGAGUGUAGAGGUGAAAUUCGUAGAUAUUCGGANGAACACCAGUGGCGACAGCGGCUCAGGGGCCAUACUGACGCUGAGGGCGAAGCGGGCA